UGCAUUGUCGUACAACUCUGAGCGGUGGAUCACUCGGCUCGUGUGUCGAUGAAGAGUGCAGCCAACUGUGUGAAUUAAUGCGAA
rnacentral:rRNA from 1 species